ACGACCUUACUUGAACAGGAUCUGUUCUAUAGGCUCGUACCUCUGUAUCCUUGAGUUCUAAGGAGACAGGAACUAAAGUCUGGUGGAUGAACCAUGACCCUGUGAUCAGAGCGUGAUUAACGGUCUGGUGUCCCUUCUCUCAGGAGAAGAUACAUCCUUAGCUGUAGAGGAUCGUUCCCAGUCAUUAUGUUUGGGAUGGUCACAGGGUUGUCUGACAGACU
rnacentral:snoRNA from 1 species